CCUACGGGAGGCAGCAGUGGGGAAUAUUGGACAAUGGGGGCAACCCUGAUCCAGCCAUGCCGCGUGUGUGAAGAAGGCUUUCGGGUUGUAAAGCACUUUCAGUGAGGAGGAAAACCUUAUGGCUAAUACCCAUGAGGCUUGACGUUACUCGCAGAAGAAGCACCGGCUAACUCCGUGCCAGCAGCCGCGGUAAU
rnacentral:rRNA from 1 species